UACAGAGGGUGCGAGCGUUAAUCGGAAUUACUGGGCGUAAAGCGUGCGUAGACGGCUAUCUAAGUCGGGUGUGAAAGCUCCGGGCUCAACCUGGGAAUUGCAUUCGAGACUGAAUAGCUAGGGUACGGUAGAGGGAAGUGGAAUUUCCGGUGUAGCGGUGAAAUGCGUAGAUAUCGGGAAGAACACCCGUGGCGAAGGCGGCUCUCUGGGACGGUACUGACGCUGAGACGCGAAAGCGUGGGGAGCGAACAGG
rnacentral:rRNA from 1 species